rnacentral:lncRNA from 1 species
CAACUUGGUGGAUAGCACGUCUGGACAUAAGCUAUACAGCUUCUUGGAUGCAUUUUCUGGUUAUCAUCAAAUCCUCAUGGCCGAGGAAGAUCAAGAAAAGACGUCAUUCAUGGUCGAUUCCGCCAUAUACUAUUAUAAGGUCAUGCCUUUCGGUUUGAAGAAUGCAGGGGCAACAUACCAAAGGCUCAUCAACAAAGUCUUUGCUAACUUGAUUGGAAGGAAUGUGGAGGCGUACGUUGAUGACAUGGUGGUCAAGAGCAAACAGGUGGACCAGCAUAUUUCAGAUCUUGAAGAGGUUUUCGACACCUUGCGAAAGUAUGAAAUGAAAUUGAACCCCGCAAAAUGUGCAUUUGGCGUAGCCUCGGGCAAGUUCUUGGGCUUUAUGAUCACUCACCGGGGGAUAGAGGCUAACCUUGACAAAAUACAAGCCUUGGCGUCUAUGGAAUUACUAAGAAACAAGAAAGAGGUACAGAGGUUGACUGGUAGGAUAGCAGCCUUGAACAGGUUCAUGUCCCGAGCAUCAAACAGGUGCUAUCCCUUCUUCAAAGUCCUCAGAGGAAACCAAGGCUUUGAUUGGAGUGAAGACUGUGAGAAAGCUUUUCAGGAGCUCAAGCAAACAUUGGCAUCUCCUCUUAUUCUCACUAGGCCUGAGCCCGGUGACACCUUAUUUUUGUACCUGGCCGUAUCUGAAAACGCAGUCAGCGGGGUCUUGGUAAAAGAGGUUAACAAAGUCCAACAACCUAUCUACUAUGUAAGCAAGGUCCUACUAGAUGCGGAAACAAGGUAUACUUUGGCGGAACAACUUGCCCUUGUCUUGGUAAUAGCAGCACAGAAACUCCGACAGUAUUUUCAGUCUCACCCUAUUGUGGUGCUCACUAAUCAACCACUUAAGCAUAUACUUCAGAAGUCGGAUGUCUCGGGAAGACUAAUGAAAUGGGCGAUCGAGCUUGGAGAAUUUGACAUCGAAUUCAAACCACGCCCAUCUAUCAAAGCCCAAGCACUAGCCGACUUCAUUGCAGAACUAACCCCUAGGCCUCGAGGGCCAGGUGACAACUCGAGCAUGAGCACCAAUUUGGACACUUGGCAAAUUUUUGUGGAUGGAGCAUUGAACUCGUCGGGCUCGGGUGCAAGGGUCAUCAUCAUCAGCCCUGACAAAUAAACAGAGAUUCAAUGCGCUCUUAGGUUCAAGUUUGAAGCAACCAAUAACGAGACCGAGUAUGAGGCCGUCGUUAUCGCUCUGGAGCUAGCCCUUUGCCUUGAGCUCGAGUUCGUGAAGCUAUUCUGCGAUUCACAACUGGUGGUUGGACAGAUUGAAGGAUCAUUUGAAAGGAAAGACGAGAAAAUGAGUUUGUACUGUAUGAAGGUUCAGGAUCUUCAACGAAAAUUCAAGAGUUGUGAAAUUGCAAAAAUUGCUCGAAAGGGCAACAGAAAAGCCGACGCAUUAUCCAGGCUUGUGUUCAUGGGGAUAGACAGGCUUGACAGAACAGUUCACAUUAAAAUCAUCACAGAACCCAGCAUCAAUCAAAUCCUCGACAUCAUGGACAUUGACAACGAACCAUCCUGGAUGGACCCAAUCAUAGAAUUCAUCACAAGUGGAAAUCUACCAGGCGAUGCCAGGUUAGCUAGAAGCAUCAGAGCUCGAGCACCUAGGUACUGCAUGGUCAGCGGUGUCCUCUUUCGCAGAAGUAUUACUCUUCCAUACCUAAGGUACCUUAGACCAUCAGAAUCAUCCCAGCCCUUGCUGAAGUUCAUGAAGGUGUGUGCGGGAAUCAUCAAGGAGCCAGGGCCUUGGCCUUUAAACUCAUACGAUAUGGAUACUAUUGGCCAACUAUGAAGAAAGACGCCUCAGAAUAUGUUAAAAAAUGUGACAGGUGCCAGAGGUUUGGUAAUGUUAUCCACUCACCAGCCGAAGACCUCACCAACAUUAACUGUUCGGCCCCAUUUGAACAAUGGGGAGUUGACAUCCUCAGCCCCUUUCCUGUGGCAAGAGGUCAAUUAAAGUUUGUUGCUAUAGCAGUAGAGUAUUUCACAAAAUGGGCAGAGGCUGAACCUCUCGCCACAAUAUCGGAGCCUAAGCUAAGAGCCUUCACUUGGAGGUCUAUCAUUUGCAGGUUUGGGAUACCGAAGGUCCUCAUCACCGACAAUAGCAGGCAAUUUGACAAUCAACAGUUUAGGGACUUUUGCUCAAACCUUGGGAUUGAUCACCGUCUGAUCAGUUUCGCAUCCUCAGAGCAAUGGUCUGGCCGAGGUAACAAAUCGAAUCAUAUUACAAGACCUCCGAACAAGAAUUAGCAAUGCUAGGGGUUCUUGGUCCGACGAGCUGCCUUCUAUACUAUGGACGUAUAGAACAACUCAUAGGACAACCACAGGAGAAACCCCUUUUAUGUUAGCCUAUGGCAUUGAAGCAAUGGUCCCAGUGGAAAUUAGACUGCCAAGCCAUAGGAGGCUCGUGCCAGAAACCUCGGAGCAUACAACUGAACAUCUUGAUCUCUUGGAAGAAGUACGGGAGCAAGCCGCUAUAAAGGUGGCCUCUUACCAAACUAAGACAGCAAAACAUUUUAUUAGCAAAGUCAAGAGUCGGAGGUUCAGAGCUGGCGAUUUGGUCUUGAGAAGGGCCGAAGCAGCAGGUCACCCCCCAAGGAAGCUCGGGCCCAUCUGGGAAGGACCCUUUGAGGUCAUACGACAGGUUCGCAAAGGAGCAUACAGCCUAAGAGACACUUCGGGUAGACCUCUUCCAAGGCCCUGAAAUGCCG